rnacentral:lncRNA from 1 species
UGGGAAUUGAAAGUGGAGCUGAGUAGAAACUGAAACACCAGCCUGGCAGACACGGGGUCAGAUAAGAACCAGGGAGCAGAAACAAAAAGAAGGCACUCUAUACAAGUGGCCCAAAAUGGCCUUUGUGUAGACCCGUCACUGCUGGGAAUUGAGGGAGGAACCUGCUCAGGCUGUUGUCAGGAAUUCCAGAACAUUCUAUCAAGUGGCUUCUGGCCUUGUUUGCUUUUUUAGCUUUCUACAUCCGCAGGUAUCCGGCUCCAGGCUAGCGUGGGCCGGGGUCUCAGUGACGGUGCCUAUGCAGAGGAGAAGAAAUCUGGUUAUAAGACGGGAAGCAGUUUGAUGGAGUUUAUUGGAUGAAGCAGCUGCCAUCGGAGCAGUCACGCCACCUGAGUGACGCUAAUGAGACAGCUCCCCGCAUUGGACACAAAGUCUGAUAGCAGGAGAGAGAACCCUGGCUUGUGUCCAAAUUAACUUGUGGGCUUGCUCAUUGAUAAACUUCUUGAAAAGCAAAGACACCAUUUGCAAAGAAAAGGAAGAAGAUCGGGUUUUGUCCAAGGAAUUCAAUGCUUGGUUCUCAAUUGUGAUUCAUGACACCUAUGUUUUAUUUUCUUGGCUGUGGCUAGGACUCAACUGAUGACUUGAACGUGUUACAUCAAGCCUUAAUUUACCUGGCUAUAAAAUGGGUAUAGUCAGAAGUGAGCCCCACUUACCUGUUUGUGAUGCUGCAUAAAU